rnacentral:lncRNA from 1 species
UUAAGUAGAAUUUCAGUUACUGCAAUUUCAUAUUCUCAAAGUUGUAGAACCAAACUGAAACAUUGGGCGCUAGUUCUAUAACUCUCAAUGAUAUUGACUCUUAAAAUCAUUAUUUGUUUUUGUAAGCAUCUCUCUAAGCAUCUUGCACUAUCGCUAGCUAAUAUUUGGAGAAUCAACAAAGAAGCAAACCUUAAUGCAGCCCAUGGCAAUCAAAGUACCAGAGGCAUCGAUUUCUCUAUUAUUCCUCAACAAUUAGCAAUAAGCAGAGCCAGACCUGAAACCAUUCUUGGGUAGGCACAGAACUGCGACACGACCAAACCUAUGUCAAGCAUAUGGAUCGCUCCCACACCAGAGCUCCCGUGAGACACCUACAGGCCUACCGUAGAACCAGGUUCAGAAGUCCACCACCCGGAACGGCGCGACCUGCUUCUCCAGCGGCGGCCGCCCGCCGUUGGCGACGCGGCAGUUGCGCCGGAUCUCCCCCUUCCUGGGGUUCUGGAGCUCGCCCAGCUUGACCAUCCCCUCGAUGAAGGCCCUGAAGAAGGCGUCCUGGUUCUGGCUGAACUGCGUCACCACCCGCCGGGUCCCCUCGUUGUCGGAGAAGAGCGUCUGGUCGGAGUUCAGGAAGCCGCGGAGGUGGACCAGGUCCUUGAAGUACUGGUUGUCGAAGACGACCGG